AUGGCCACCACCUCCGCCUACGCAGUGGCGGCCGGCGGCGGGGAGGCGUCGCCGUGCCGGGGCGCCCUUCUCAGGCCACGGCCUCCCCCGCACCGCCUCGCGUUCCUCUCCCGGGCGCCCGCUCGUCGGGCCUCGAUCUCGCUGCCGCCGGGGCCUCGCCGGGCGGGUCUGACAGCGGCGACCGCGGAGGGGAGGGCGGGGACGGGGAUGGAGGACGAGGAGGAGGGGCCGGCGUGGGUGGAGCUGGAGCCGAUCAGCGGCGAGGAGCAGCUGGACCGGGCCCUCGCCGAGGCCCAGCAGCGCGGCGUCCCCAUCGUCGUGUUCUGGACGGCGAGUUGGUGCAGGAAAUGCAUAUAUCUGAAGCCUAAGCUGGAAAAGUUGGCAGCAGAAUACUAUCCGAGAAUCCGGUUUUACUGUGUCGACGUCAACGCUGUUCCACAGAAGCUCGUGAAUCGUGCAGGAGUAACGAAGAUGCCUUCCAUACAGAUGUGGAGCGACUCCCGGAAGCAGGCCGAGGUGAUCGGCGGGCACGAGUCGUGGAUGGUGAUCGAGGACGUCCGGAGGAUGGUCGAGCAGGAGGAAUGA
rnacentral:rRNA from 1 species